GAUGAACGCUGGCGGCGUGCCUAAUACAUGCAAGUCGAGCGAACAGACGAGGAGCUUGCUCCUCUGACGUUAGCGGCGGACGGGUGAGUAACACGUGGAUAACCUACCUAUAAGACUGGGAUAACUUCGGGAAACCGGAGCUAAUACCGGAUAAUAUAUUGAACCGCAUGGUUCAAUAGUGAAAGACGGUUUUGCUGUCACUUAUAGAUGGAUCCGCGCCGCAUUAGCUAGUUGGUAAGGUAACGGCUUACCAAGGCGACGAUGCGUAGCCGACCUGAGAGGGUGAUCGGCGACACUGGAACUGAGACACGGUCCAGACUCCUACGGGAGGCAGCAGUAGGGAAUCUUCCGCAAAGGGCGAAAGCCUGACGGAGCAACGCCGCGUGAGUGAUGAAGGUCUUCGGAUCGUAAAACUCUGUUAUUAGGGAAGAACAAAUGUGUAAGUAACUAUGCACGUCUUGACGGUACCUAAUCAGAAAGCCACGGCUAACUACGUG
rnacentral:rRNA from 1 species